rnacentral:lncRNA from 1 species
GGUCUUUCUCUUCCUGCCGCGCUCCCUCAGAACUGGCUGAAGAACACUAGCUACUUCUCCAGCUGCGUGCCGCCAUGUUCCCUGUCAUGGGGAUAAAGGGACUAAAUCCCUCUGAAACGGUUCAUCUAUGAAGCAGCUGGCUCCAGAACCUUCUGCCUGCCUAAGGCCGAAUAAUGCUCUGCUUCUGAGUAUGCUGACUUGGGUUGUCUGUUUACCUCACUGCUGGCUGCUGGCUGCUGUCCCCCUGGGAGCUCCCUGCUUGGCUGCUGUGGCUAAUGCUGCCAGGAGGUCAGUUGUCCAAGAAUCUCUCUCUUCAGGCCCUUCUUCCAGUUCCUCAGGCGCCACAUCCAGAAGCAGGAGAAGAACCUUAGGAGCAGUGUCCACUCUGCUCACAGACCCUGUUCAUCAUGGCUCCAAUGACUCUCGAUUUCCAUCUCUGCUGUGUUUCUUAGCCAGCACGGGGCCUGCAACUACAUCUCCUAUCUGGAUGCUGUGUAAGAGCAGGAGGAAGAAUGGACCCUUGCAAGGACACAGCUACCGCCCAGGGGUGCCUGGCGAGACAGAUUCUGCAAAUGUUUGUCAGCUCAGAGCCAGGUCUAGAAUGUGGCCUCUCUGGAGCUCGCUUGUUGGCUCCCCCAGAUGCAUCAUGGAAGGAGUUCCGCAUGCUCUGAGACAGUUUCUUCCCAGGAGGGGAUCAGCUUACUGGAGCAGCGCUGUUUUCUGUGGACCCUUGUCUAGUUGUGGCGGUUGCUGGGAAAGAUGAAGUCCCCAGACUGGAGCUCAGGCUGCAAAGAGGCUGGCAUGGCACCUGGAUACCGAGCCACUCCUUGACAAAAGCCCUCUCCAGCCUGCGUGGACCUCGCGUGAGAGAAGUCUAGGUGGCUGUGGGCAGCCCACAGGCUUCCGUUGCCGCUGCGUUACAGCUUGUCGUCUUAAUCUUGAAAUGAGACCUGGUUCACUUGAUCUCAUUAAUAAAAGGUCUGUGCUCCCCCUAGUCAUAAAAA